GAUGAACGCUAGCGGCAGGCUUAAUACAUGCAAGUCGAACGGUAAGGUCUCUUCGGAGAUACACGAGUGGCGCACGGGUGCGUAACGCGUAUGCAACCUACCUUUAACUGGGAAAUAGCCCCGAGAAAUCGGGAUUAAUGUCCCAUAUUAUUCUUUGAAUACCUAUUCGAGGAAUGAAAGCUCCGGCGGUUAUUGAUGGGCAUGCGUGACAUUAGCUAGUUGGUGAGGUAACGGCUCACCAAGGCAACGAUGUCUAGGGGUCCUGAGAGGGUUAACCCCCACACUGGUACUGAGACACGGACCAGACUCCUACGGGAGGCAGCAGUAAGGAAUAUUGGGCAAUGGACGCAAGUCUGACCCAGCCAUGCCGCGUGAAGGAUGAAUGUCCUAUGGAUUGUAAACUUCUUUUAUGCAGGAAAAAUAUCCCGGUCGUGAACCGGGACUGAUGGUACUGUAUGAAUAAGCAUCGGCUAACUCCGUGCCAGCCGCCGCCGUAA
rnacentral:rRNA from 1 species